GGAGGAACUGUGGCUCAGUGGUAGUGCAUCUGCUUGGUAUGCAGAAGGUCGUAGGUUCAGUUCCCAAUGUCUCCA
rnacentral:tRNA from 1 species